GACUCGGUGGCGGAUGGUCCGCGUCUGUGCCCGCUAUAGAACUGCCACAGAUGUACUUUAACAGAAGGUGCUUGUUCGAAUCAGGCUCGAGUCU